rnacentral:tRNA from 1 species
GCCGUCAUAGCUCAGUGGUAGAGCACUUCCAUGGUAAGGAAGGGGUCCGCAGUUCAAGCCUGCGUGACGGCUCCA